rnacentral:sRNA from 1 species
UACUGUGUGUAAGUGUAUAUUACUGGUA